rnacentral:rRNA from 1 species
UACGUAGGGUGCGAGCGUUAAUCGGAAUUACUGGGCGUAAAGCGUGCGCAGGCGGUGAUGUAAGACAGAUGUGAAAUUCCUGGGCUUAACCUGGGGGGCUGCAUUUGAUACGUGGUGGCUUGAGUGCGGAAGAGGGUCGUGGAAUUCCCGGUGUAGCAGUGAAAUGCGUAGAGAUCGGGAGGAACAUCAGUUGCGAAGGCGGCUCUCUGGACCAGCACUGACACUGAGGCACGAAAGCGUGGGGAGCAAACAGG